GACCCCUUAGCUCAGUGGUAGAGUGUGUGAUUCCAGCUUUCCUAAUUAGGCAAUGCUUCCACAAAGUCAGCUGUUCGAUCCAGUUAGGGGUCA